rnacentral:lncRNA from 1 species
GAAUGGCAGACUCUGGACGUGCUCCUAGAGAUGGGAGGUCAAAAUGAUCAACGUCCAGGGUCCCUUCAUCUCAGAGGGUCUCGAGUCACUUCAUUUAAAGUAUGGCCUGGGAGAUCUCCCAUCCAGCCAUACGCUGCCCAGGACUGGCUCAACACCUCCCACCCACCACCGCUGGUUCACCCAUGACACGUCACCUCCCACCCGCCACUACUGGCUCACCUGUAACACCCCAGGCAGCUCAGAUGCCCAGCAGGUCCUGCUGGUGUGUAUUAGCUGGGGUUCUCCAAAGAACCAGAGCCACCAGGAGACACACCCAUCUCUGUAUCUGGAGAAAGAGAUCGAUGA